rnacentral:rRNA from 1 species
ACACCGGCAGCCCAAGUGGUGGCCAUUUUUAUUGGGCCUAAAGCGUUCGUAGCCGGCCUGAUAAGUCUCUGGUGAAAUCCCGCAGCUUAACUGUGGGAAUUGCUGGAGAUACUAUCAGGCUUGAGGUCGGGAGAGGUUAGAGGUACUCCCAGGGUAGGGGUGAAAUCCUAUAAUCCUGGGAGGACCACCUGUGGCGAAGGCGUCUGACUUGACCGAACCUGACGGUGAGUAACGAAAGCCAGGGGCGCGAUCCGGAUUAUAUCCCCGGGUUGUCCUGGACUUAAACGAUGUGGACGUGGUGUUGGGAUGUCCUCGAGCUGCCCCAGUGCCGAAGGGAAGCUGUUAAGUCCACCGCCUGGGAAGUACGUUCGCAAGACUGAAACUCAAAUGAAUUGACGGGG